AGCAGUCAGCAACAUUCAUCUCUCGACGGGGUGUCUAACUUGGUGUUAUGAUGUGUUCGACCCUAACUUAAUUUUAUGCCGGUACAUCCCUUUAAUCUCACUGAUCAGUCUUUAUGAGCGUAGCCUCAAUUCAUAACCUACAUUUUCUCAAGACACUUUACAAGAUGAGCAGACCUAGACCUUACUCUAUCACAUUUACAUAAACCCAACAUUAAUCAACGUCGUGUCUAUCAGAGGACUUAAAAGGAGAUGUUACUUGUGAACUGUUGCCAGUUACCACAGCGCACAUGCAGAGGUCUAGUGGAGUCCAUGUCAGGUCAGGGCCAAAACAGCCCUGAAUCGAUGGGAGGGGGGCCCACACAGUGUUUAGCAGAUGCUCAUAAUGUUACUGCUGAUGGGUGUACAUAUUUAGAGAUUUGAGGCUUAAAUGACGAGGGAACAAGCAAGCGCUAGAUCAUACUUUAAGAAAAAGAGUGCAAGGUGUGUUUGACCAGGAAGCUGUUUUGUUUUUAAUUAAUCAGCAACGUUUUUAGCUGUUUCUCUGGAUCCUAAUAACUCACAGUGAUAUAUCAGCAACAUUUUCUACAACUAUAACUGAAUCUAAGUGUUUGUGGAGUUUUAUUUGAUAUUGAAGCAUUAUGACAGGCCUUUGGAGCAGACCGCUGCUCUCAUACUAGUGUAGAUUAGCUCUUCGUCAUGCGUUGUACAGAGGGGCAUUUUCCUCCAGAAGUGGGUGAUGAGAAACAGUGAGACUCUGUGUGAUGUUUGAGAUUGUUAUUCAUCUUUCACUGCCUGGCCCGUCUGUAUCACACCAAAAAAAAAAAAAAAAAUGCAGCUGUUCUGGGUAAUCCAAACAACCACAAAAAGGGGACAAUUCCAGCAAAACUUGUCCGCAUACAAACUGUCCUGCCCACGUGUUACAUCUAAGUGUCUUUGUAAAGUUUAAGGGCUUGGCAAAUUGCUAUUAUCUUACUGCCGUGGGCGACCGUACCACAAAACCUGUCCAGUGUGCCUCCCGACGUAGAAACCAAAAGAGAGGAAAGAAAGGAGCAGAGGUCUUGAUACAAAACCGAGGUGUCAAAUACUGUUACUGAAGGAAGGUUGAACACUAGAUGGCAGCAAAACACUGCCAUUUGGUAUGUUUACUGUUUAUCUCUUUUGUACCAAAACUGACUAUGAUACAUUUUGAGACACUGAAAAGGAGACGCACAUGAACUGAUAAAUAAACACAGAAUAUUACGCAUGCUUACUGUUGAGAUAGAGGAAGGCUGCACUAUCACUUUUCAAAAGACACUGAGUAUCUAAUGAGAUACAAGCUGAAAAAAUAUAUAUUUAUAGGCCAAACAAGCGAGUAACGCACUACUUAAUAAGGGGGUUUUAGACAUGCAUCCGUUUACGUCAUUUAAACGUGUUUUUCUGCACAAAAGAAGCAACAGGUUGAAAAUGAAUCCACCACACUGCCCCCCACAAUGAUGGUCUGCUUUGUGUGCACGUGUUUUCUUUCAGCGACUAAGUAAGACUGCAGUUUUUACUUCACAUGUAGGUGUAGACAUGUUGCUUGCCAAAAUUAAAAAAGAGAAGAGAAAUGGGAAUUAGAAUAACACAGAGAGAGAAAUAAAAAUACUUGUGGGAAAAUGAAAGGGUCUCUGUUGUUUUUUCUUCUUGAUGUGGCAGGUAAACGUGUGAAGAAGUAGGAAACUGUGUGUGUCAGUGAUAUUAACAUUUUAAAGCAAUUUAAUCUACAUAAGUAGGUAUUUAAUGUCAAAACAAAGAGAAACUUGUGGCCAUUAGUGGUCACCAAUGAGUGAGAAAUAAUGUAGGAUGCUGAAUUAUUAAGCUUUAAUUAUUUUUAAACUCUACGGAAAUAUCGACUACCAGUCUAGGAGCAUUCUGAAUGAUAUAAAGACAAUUUCUUCUAAAUAUAUGCAUGACAUGUACACAAAAUGGACAAUAAAACUUGGGUGAAAAUGUAGUAUUGACUAAGAAAAUUAUUAAUACGGCCGUGGAGGCACUCUGACUAUCAAGGGAAAAUAUUAUGGCAUUCCAGGUCAAAAAGGUUGCUGACCCCUGCUCUACAGAAUGAACUUUGAGAAUUAAACUGGAUUCAAGGUAAACACUGAGUUUGACUGUAACAGAAACCAUAUUACUGAAGGCAUUAUGUGACAAUGAGAUACAAAGGAAAAGCUAUAAUUAGUUUUCAUUCAGAGGUUUCUAGAACAAAGAGAACAAAAUAACAGCUCAUAUAUGUUUAUAAAUUUAAAAGACAGCUGAG